rnacentral:rRNA from 1 species
UAGAGUUUGAUCCUGGCUCAGGAUGAACGCUGGCGGCGUGCCUAAUACAUGCAAGUCGAGCGAACAGAUAAGGAGCUUGCUCCUUUGACGUUAGCGGCGGACGGGUGAGUAACACGUGGAUAACCUACCUAUAAGACUGGGAUAACUUCGGGAAACCGGAGCUAAUACCGGAUAAGAUUUUGAACCGCAUGGUUCAAUAGUGAAAGACGGCCUUGCUGUCACUUAUAGAUGGAUCCGCGCCGUAUUAGCUAGUUGGUAAGGUAACGGCUUACCAAGGCAACGAUACGUAGCCGACCUGAGAGGGUGAUCGGCCACACUGGAACUGAGACACGGUCCAGACUCCUACGGGAGGCAGCAGUAGGGAAUCUUCCGCAAUGGGCGAAAGCCUGACGGAGCAACGCCGCGUGAGUGAUGAAGGUCUUCGGAUCGUAAAACUCUGUUAUCAGGGAAGAACAAACGUGUAAGUAACUGUGCACGUGCUUGACGGUACCUNANCAGAAAGCCACGGCUAACUNAC